GAGAAGCACCAGGGAGAGCUAGCUGCCUGGGCCUGGUGGAAGCUGCCCAUGCCCCACUGAUACCCCACAGUAUUUCCUGUUCUGCUCAGUACUCCUGCUUCUUUCUGCAAACAACUGUGAUUCUCCACCUGGGAGCUUCCUCUGGCCACAGGAGCCUGCUCACCUGAAUGGGAUACCCCAGCAGUACUGUGCUUCCUGGAAUCAUCUCCCUCAUCAAUCAUUUGUUCCAAAAUUCUGUCUGAGUCUGUUUCUGAGGAAACCCAACCUGAGUCAUCAUCCCUCUUCCCCCCGUCACACUCUCUUCACUGGGGGAGGAUGGAUUGAGUUGACUGGCAAAUUUUAGAGAAGGAGUUUGCAUUGGAGUGCGUGACUCAGCUGAGGUUGGGCUGUGUUUUUUCAGAGAGAAGUACAUUCAGAUUCAAUGUGUAUCCUGUCUUCAGGAAGCCCCAUGGUCUGUUCAUCUUAGUAUGAUUACUAAGCUACACUCUGCCCUUUCAAGGGGAAGGCCUGAGAUUUGCAGUUGGCAAGCUCAGUGGAAGCUGGAUGUUUUAUGUAACCUGAUUGUGGAUAUAGAUCAAUCCAUGCUGUUCAAUUCAGUCCUCUCUCUAAUAAACUGCUCUUAUGAACCC